AUUCAACUGUUGAGUCGAAAAAAGGAUGAAACGCGCUUCUUGAAU
rnacentral:hammerhead_ribozyme from 1 species